GACGAACGCUGGCGGCGUGCUUAACACAUGCAAGUCGAACGGAAAGGCCUCUUUCGGGGGGUACUCGAGUGGCGAACGGGUGAGUAACACGUGAGUAACCUGCCCUUGACUUUGGGAUAACUUCAGGAAACUGGGGCUAAUACCGGAUAGGAGCUCCUGCUGCAUGGUGGGGGUUGGAAAGUUUCGGCGGUUGGGGAUGGACUCGCGGCUUAUCAGCUUGUUGGUGGGGUAGUGGCUUACCAAGGCUUUGACGGGUAGCCGGCCUGAGAGGGUGACCGGCCACAUUGGGACUGAGAUACGGCCCAGACUCCUACGGGAGGCAGCAGUGGGGAAUAUUGCACAAUGGGUGGAAGCCUGAUGCAGCAACGCCGUGUGCGGGAUGACGGCCUUCGGGUUGUAAACCGCUUUCGCUCAUGACGAAGCUUUGUGUGACGGUAGUGGGUCAAGAAGCACCGGCUAACUACGUG
rnacentral:rRNA from 1 species